rnacentral:rRNA from 1 species
GCUCAGAACGAACGCUGGCGGCAUGCCUAACACAUGCAAGUCGAACGAAGCCUUCGGGCUUAGUGGCGCACGGGUGCGUAACGCGUGGGAAUCUGCCCUUGGGUUCGGAAUAACAGUUAGAAAUGACUGCUAAUACCGGAUGAAGUCUUCGGACCAAAGAUUUAUCGCCCAGGGAUGAGCCCGCGUAGGAUUAGGUAGUUGGUGGGGUAAGAGCCUACCAAGCCGACGAUCCUUAGCUGGUCUGAGAGGAUGAUCAGCCACACUGGGACUGAGACACGGCCCAGACUCCUACGGGAGGCAGCAGUGGGGAAUAUUGGACAAUGGGGGAAACCCUUGAUCCAGCAAUGCCGCGUGAGUGAUGAAGGCCUUAGGGUCGUAAAGCUCUUUUACCCCGGGAUGAUAAUACAGACCG